rnacentral:rRNA from 1 species
CCUACGGGAGGCAGCAGUGAGGAAUAUUGGUCAAUGGACGAGAGUCUGAACCAGCCAAGUAGCGUGAAGGAUGACUGCCCUAUGGGUUGUAAACUUCUUUUAUAUGGGAAUAAAACGUUCCACGUGUGGGAUUUUGUAUGUACCAUAUGAAUAAGGAUCGGCUAACUCCGUGCCAGCAGCCGCGGUAAUACGGAGGAUCCGAGCGUUAUCCGGAUUUAUUGGGUUUAAAGGGAGCGUAGGUGGAUUGUUAAGUCAGUUGUGAAAGGUUGCGGCUCAACCGUAAGAUUGCAGUUGAAACUGGCAGUCUUGAGUACAGGAGAGGUGGGCGGAAUGCGUGGUGUAGCGGUGAAAUGCUUAGAUAUCACGAAGAACUCCGAUUGCGAAGGCAGCUCACUGGACUGCAACUGACACUGAGGCUCGAAAGUGUGGGUAUCAAACAGGAUUAGAUACCCCUGUAGUC